UACAGAGGGGGCAAGCGUUGUUCGGAAUUACUGGGCGUAAAGGGCGCGUAGGCGGCCUGUUAAGUCGGACGUGAAAUCCCUCGGCUCAACCGGGGAACUGCGUCCGAUACUGGCGGGCUUGAAUUCGGGAGAGGGAUGGUGGGAAGUUCCGAGGGUGGAGUCGAGGCGGGUGGAAAGUGAGCGGUGAGGACGUAGUCGUCGG
rnacentral:rRNA from 1 species